rnacentral:lncRNA from 1 species
GGCUAAGUCCAAGAAUCUAUGGCCAUAGUAGUGUGAUUGAUGGAAAGGAGUUUCCAUAGAAGUCACAACUAGAUUUGAGCUAAUCGAAUCUAUCAUAUGACCAAUGUUGAGGUUUGACGAUUUAUCCAUGACCUGCCAUCAAGUCGAAACUCACAAUAGAGCGACUGAAUCAUAUGUUAACUAUACCUAGAGAUUCAUUUCAGUUUUACUGGGUUGUCACUAUAUAUGUUGUUAUCACUGACGGAUUAUGAGAGCUCAC